rnacentral:lncRNA from 1 species
AAAUGCAAGACACUAACCUCAAUGAUCUAGAAUUGCGAAAACUAAAAAAUUGACCAAGGUCUUCCUCUUGCUUAUGGGGGGCAGCAAUAUCGAUGACACUGUGUACGGUGAGGUGGAUACAUUGGGAAAAAGGGUAUGGGGCUGUUUGAGACUCAUCCACCAACUCUGCUCCACAAACUACACCCUGCAACAUUAAGCGGCUACACAAAAAAUUAGAGUUUGUGAAUUAACUCUUUACAUGCUCUCACAAAUCCAUAGUUUUUUCCCCGAACUGAGCGCUU